rnacentral:lncRNA from 1 species
UGAAUUGCCAUAAGUUUCUACCAAACAUAGUAUUCAUCACUUGUGUCCAAAAUUUCCAUAGCUAAUUUCUCAAUCAGCAAAAUAGUGUACAAGAAUACAGUGAUAGCACAUUCAAGAAUACAGUGAUAGCCAACUAUUGUCAACCCAAAUUUUGAAGGUCAACGUGCAAUACUGGGAUUAUCUUCAGAUUCAUGUAUAUCCAACCUUCCCCUAAAAAGCUCUAUCUCCACAAAGUCUUGAGAGCCAAAAGAGAUAUUUAGUAAACAUGUAUGUUAGGCCGAUAAACCGUCAAUAACCGCCCUAUAAGAGCUAACCUGAUACCAAUCCGCCUGAUAUCUUAUCGGGUGGCUAACGGAUUAAUACAUUUAAAAGCCGAUAACCGUUAAGCCAAACCGUUAAGAGUAAAAAGCCGCCCAGUUCGCCCAAUGAACACCCCUACGCGGAUGUAUCUAGCUAACUGAGAUAACAAACAUAAGCCCUUCGCGCCCUUUGUUUUAUGAUUUGAUUCCAAUUUUCUUACUCCUAUAUAUUAAGAAGUAUGGUGUAGCCUUUGCUUGUAUCUAGUUGUUUCUUAUUUUUGGAUAGUGGAUACGGCAUGUCCUAACAAGAAUUUGAAGAGAGAGAACUUAC